ACAAGCUUUCUGCCCAUGGUUUUAGCAUCUACUGAUGAUCCAGGACUGGCACCCUUUUCGUUAAUUCUAGAAAAGGGACAUUUACUGAACAUGCGUGUAUUUAAUAAAUAUCUACUAGGAACAGUGGCAGGGCUGGGAACUGGGCAGGCAGGGAGACAGCGGCUGCCCUUAUUGACCAUCUAAUCUCCUCCCACAGCAUGACCCCAGGAUCUCUGUGUCAACUAUGGCUCCUCCUGAACCAUGGAUCACAGGAACUGCCUCAACAUUGCUGUGGGUGCUUCUUUGAAGGCACGAUUUCUUUUCUCGCAUUGGACAUAUCAUGGUUCGGCUGUACUGUGUCCUGUCCUGUCCUGGAGGGAAAGUUUCAGUCUUGGCGCAGGAAGACAGACAAGUACUCUUCAUCCUUUUGUAAAUCCUGUGACCCAGAUGCUUCGGACUUUGCCUCUUUCCUUGUUCAGAUUAUGAGGAGUUUUCAGCUGCUUGGGGACAGACAGCAUCCACUUCAAAGACUUUGCGGUGCUGUCGAGAAACACGAAGUUCAGGACCAUCCUCUGUGUGGAAUAAGAAAUUUACUCAAGAACGUGUUUACAAAAUAAGCUUUAACCUCGUCUUAUUGAUAGUUUUACCUCCCUACGCCUUUCAGAUCAGAACUGGUGCUUUCUACCUCUUUCCGGAUCACUGUGCCAACUGAAACAAAGAAUCAGAAUUGCCCUAAAGAUGUGAAAUAUUUUCAAGAUUUGGCAAAUGAAUAACAUUUGGAUGCAAUUUCUAUUUUAGGGAGCUCCGACUGAACAAAACGUGUAUUUUACAUCGUUGCCCAAACUACUUCUCUAGAAUGAAAAAAACAAACAAACAAAAAACUCAAUGAGCUGAAUUGACCGAAGAAUUUGAAGGGCCCAAAUCACGAAGUCACACAGCUUCUCGCUUUUGAAGUAUUAGAGGAAAUGUGGAAUGUUAGUUGUUACCAGAACACGAGAUACAAUGAAACAGAAUUUCAGCCGUCAAAUCCAUCUGACUUGGGUCCUCUGAGAAGCAGAAACCAAGACGGGAUUAAUGUGCAGGCAUUUCGAUGGGGGAAGCCCCUGUGAGAAAAGAGGCAGCAGCACCCUGGGGAGGCUGCGGUUCAGACCCCAAGUGAAGGAGAGAGGGGCGGGAGUUUGGGUGGCGGUAUCCUGACUGCUAUCCAGUCAAGGGAAAGUACCACAAGGCCUCAGGGAAGUCUUUAAGUAAAAGUAAAAAGGUAAAAAAGUCCUUACAUAAAAGUAAAAGAGAGGAGUCCCAUGUCCCCCAGGAAGGACCUGCCUUAGUAUCCCUUCAGGCUCAGUCACUGCCUGGGAACAGCCUUGACACAUCCAUAGCAAUGGACUUCAGAGCACGGCCUGGGGCCUGUGACCAAGUGAGCACCUGUAGGCGAAGACCCGAGGGUCAUAUUCUCAUGCCACCACAGCAUAAGCCAGAUAAACCCUCAGCUUGGAAAAGGAUGAUUUUUUUUAAAUAUUAGUAUGAUAGGAGAGAAAAAAAUAGUUUUCUCCCUACCCUUCUAAGUUCUUGGCCCAGACUCCAGUAAGAAGACAGAUUAACAAGAGAAAAAGAAAUAUAAGUUUAUUAAUAUGUAUACCUUGUGUACACAUGGGAGAGGCCCAGGGAAAAAGAGUAACUCCCAAGGCAGUUUAGAAUUGCCUUAAAUACCAUCUUAAUAGGGAAAGGGGGGUGGCGUCUGGGUGGCUCAAUCAGCUCCGACUUCGGCUCAGGUCAUGAUCCCACAAUUCGUGAGUUCGAGCCCUGCGUCAGGCUCUGUGCUGACAGCCUGGAGCCUGGAGCCUGCUUUGGAUUCUGUGUCUCCCUCUCUCCCUCUCUGCCCCUCCCUCAUUCAUGCUCUCUCUGUCUCUCAAAAAUAAACAUUAAAAAAAUUUUUUUAAUUUAAAAAAAAUAGAGAAAGGGGCGCGCGGAUGUAGGUCUUGCAGGGGAGAGUGGGUACCUGAUAUUUAGGAAAGAUGAAUGGGCCCUGAGAAGAACAGAAGGGAAGUGUGAGAGUCUGUGACCAAGUUUGGACGUGGUGUUGACUUUGAGUUUCCUCUGCAAUGAGAAGAGUCCAUCCUUCCUAUGAUCCCACUACACAGGUGAAGAAAUCAAAGGGCAAAGACUUGUCAAGUGCACAUCAAAUCAGCAGCCAGAUCUGGCUACGCUAAGCUCUUCCAGGGGAACGCCUGUGAGAAAACUAACCCCUUUGGAUGCCACUGGAUCUUUCCACCAAGAUACCCUUCAGGCCCCUGCAGUGACGUGUCUCCCACUUGCGUUAUUGGCCUGGACAAGAACAAAGAGACCCCUGUGAGUAGGCUGUGUGUUCCUACUGAACCGUACUUUUUCCACAGUAGGAGUUUCUGAUGGGGGCUGACCUGGACUGGGAGCUUCUCGAACUCCAGAUGCCCACUGAAUACGUUCACAUGGAUCUAUGAAGAAAGCCAACACAUUCGGUUUCUUGGAGCGUCGAAAUUCGUAAGCGUCUCCUAUUCAACUCUUUUCUUUGUAAGAAUCCCUUGGUACCUGGCCAACACCUUAAUCACAGCCUUGUGGGACCGUGGGCAGAAAAUCCAACCACAUCACACCAGACUUUUGACCUACAGAUCCGUGAGCUAAUGACUGUCAUUGAGGCAGAUGAGUUGGCGGUAACCUGUCGCGCGGCAACAGAAGACUAAUACACAUCCCUUUAGGCAGUGAGGAGAGGUGCAAAGAGAAUUAUUUCAUGAUUAAAAUAAUUUCCCCUUAGGGGCAAGUGGGUGGCUCAUUUGGUUAAGCGUCCAACUUCAGCUUGGGUCACGAUCUGGCGGUUCGUGAGUUCGAGCCCCACAUCAGGCUCUGUGCUGACAGCUCAGAGCUUCCAAUGCUGUGUCUCCCUGUCUCUCUCUGCCCCUCCCUGCUCAUGCCCUGUCUUGGUCUGUCUGAAAAAUAAAUAAACAU